rnacentral:rRNA from 1 species
GACGUAGGGCGCGAGCGUUGUCCGGAUUUAUUGGGCGUAAAGAGCUCGUAGGCGGCUUGUCGCGUCGACUGUGAAAUCCCGAGGCUCAACUUCGGGCUUGCAGUCGAUACGGGCGGGCUAGAGUUCGGUAGGGGAGACUGGAAUUCCUGGUGUAGCGGUGAAAUGCGCAGAUAUCAGGAGGAACACCGAUGGCGAAGGCAGGUCUCUGGGCCGAUACUGACGCUGAGGAGCGAAAGCGUGGGGAGCGAACAGG